GGGCGGAUGGUUUAGUGGAAUAAUACUCCUAUUGUUGAUUACUGUUGGAGUGGUCCAGGGUUCGAGUCCCUGUUCGCCCA
rnacentral:tRNA from 6 species